UCUAGUCUUAUCGGUGGAUCACUCGGCUCGU
rnacentral:rRNA from 2 species